GACGAACGCUGGCGGCGCGCCUAACACAUGCAAGUCGAACGAGCGAGAGAGAGCUUGCUUUCUCGAGCGAGUGGCGAACGGGUGAGUAACGCGUGAGGAACCUGCCUCAAAGAGGGGGACAACAGUUGGAAACGACUGCUAAUACCGCAUAAGCCCACGGGUCGGCAUCGACCAGAGGGAAAAGGAGCAAUCCGCUUUGAGAUGGCCUCGCGUCCGAUUAGCUAGUUGGUGAGGUAACGGCCCACCAAGGCAACGAUCGGUAGCCGGACUGAGAGGUUGAACGGCCACAUUGGGACUGAGACACAGCCCAGACUCCUACGGGAGGCAGCAGUGGGGAAUAUUGCACAAUGGGGGAAACCCUGAUGCAGCGACGCCGCGUGGAGGAAGAAGGUCUUCGGAUUGUAAACUCCUGUUGUUGGGGAAGAUAAUGACGGUACCCAACAAGGAAGUGACGGCUAACUACGUG
rnacentral:rRNA from 1 species